rnacentral:rRNA from 1 species
AACGAACGCUGGCGGCAUGCCUAACACAUGCAAGUCGAACGAGACCUUCGGGUCUAGUGGCGCACGGGUGCGUAACGCGUGGGAACCUGCCCUUAGGUUCGGAAUCACUCCCCGAAAGGGGUGCUAAUACCGGAUAAUGUCUUCGGACCAAAGAUUUAUCGCCUUUGGAUGGGCCCGCGUUGGAUUAGCUAGUUGGUAGGGUAAAAGCCUACCAAGGCGACGAUCCAUAGCUGGUCUGAGAGGAUGAUCAGCCACACUGGGACUGAGACACGGCCCAGACUCCUACGGGAGGCAGCAGUGGGGAAUAUUGGACAAUGGGCGAAAGCCUGAUCCAGCAAUGCCGCGUGAGUGAUGAAGGCCUUAGGGUUGUAAAGCUCUUUUACCCGGGAUGAUAAUGACAGUACCGGGAGAAUAAGCGCCGGCUAACUCCGUG